UCCCUGGGGGUCCAGAGGCUAAUACGCCACACUCCCAAUGCAGGGGGCCCAGGUUCGAUCCCUGGUCAGGGAA
rnacentral:tRNA from 1 species